UGAGAUUACAAAGAUGAUAAUAAGCUCCCUCUUCUGAAGUUGAAAUUGUGGACAACCGACCGCAGAAUCGAACCUAAUGUAAUACUUGCCACUACUGAGUGA